rnacentral:rRNA from 1 species
AAAUUGAAGAGUUUGAUCAUGGCUCAGAUUGAACGCUGGCGGCAGGCCUAACACAUGCAAGUCGAACGGUAACAGGAAGCAGCUUGCUGCUUCGCUGACGAGUGGCGGACGGGUGAGUAAUGUCUGGGAAACUGCCUGAUGGAGGGGGAUAACUACUGGAAACGGUAGCUAAUACCGCAUAACGUCGCAAGACCAAAGAGGGGGACCUUCGGGCCUCUUGCCAUCGGAUGUGCCCAGAUGGGAUUAGCUUGUUGGUGGGGUAACGGCUCACCAAGGCGACGAUCCCUAGCUGGUCUGAGAGGAUGACCAGCCACACUGGAACUGAGACACGGUCCAGACUCCUACGGGAGGCAGCAGUGGGGAAUAUUGCACAAUGGGCGCAAGCCUGAUGCAGCCAUGCCGCGUGUAUGAAGAAGGCCUUCGGGUUGUAAAGUACUUUCAGCGGGGAGGAAGGGAGUAAAGUUAAUACCUUUGCUCAUUGACGUUACCCGCAGAAGAAGCACCGGCUAACUCCGUGCCAGCAGCCGCGGUAAUACGGAGGGUACAAGCGUUAAUCGGAAUUACUGGGCGUAAAGCGCACGCAGGCGGUUUGUUAAGUCAGAUGUGAAAUCCCCGGGCUCAACCUGGGAACUGCAUCUGAUACUGGCAAGCUUGAGUCUCGUAGAGGGGGGUAGAAUUCCAGGUGUAGCGGUGAAAUGCGUAGAGAUCUGGAGGAAUACCGGUGGCGAAGGCGGCC